rnacentral:misc_RNA from 1 species
UUAAGUUCAGCGGGUACCCCUGCCUGAUCCGAGGUCAACCUUGCGAGUAGGUCUUCCGGCAGACGUGGCCCCGACUUUCAAAGCGAAAGAUAAGAUUCUGCUACGCUUAAAGCCGGUGCCACGCCGCCGAACGUUUCGAGGCGCGUCCCCAAAGAGGACGUCGCCCAACACCAAGCCAGGCUUGAAGGGUGAAAUGACGC